UGGGGAAUAUUGCACAAUGGGCGCAAGCCUGAUGCAGCCAUGCCGCGUGUAUGAAGAAGGCCUUCGGGUUGUAAAGUACUUUCAGCGGGGAGGAAGGGAGUAAAGUUAAUACCUUUGCUCAUUGACGUUACCCGCAGAAGAAGCACCGGCUAACUCCGUGCCAGCAGCCGCGGUAAUACGGAGGGUGCAAGCGUUAAUCGGAAUUACUGGGCGUAAAGCGCACGCAGGCGGUUUGUUAAGUCAGAUGUGAAAUCCCCGGGCUCAACCUGGGAACUGCAUCUGAUACUGGCAAGCUUGAGUCUCGUAGAGGGGGGUAGAAUUCCAGGGGUAGCGGUGAAAGGCGUAGAGAUCUGGAGGAAUACCGGUGGCGAAGGCGGCCCCCUGGACGAAGACUGACGCUCAGGUGCGAAAGCGUGGGGAGCAAACAGG
rnacentral:rRNA from 1 species